UCAAUGGGAUCAUCAAUGGGGUCUAUGGGAUCAAUGGGAUCUAUGGGAUCCACAACGGCAUCAAUGGGACCUAUGGGAUCAACAACAGCAUCAACGGGAUCCACAACAGUGUCAAUAGGAUCAACAGCGGCAUCAAUGGCAUCAAUAGGAUCAUCAAUGGCAUCAAUGGGAUCCACAACGGUGUCAAUGGGAUCAAUGGGAUCCACAACGGCAUCGAUGGGAUCAUCAAUGGUGUCAAUGGGAUCAACAACAGCAUCAAUGGCAUCAGUAGGAUCAACAACGGCAUCAGUGGCGUCUAUGGGAUCAUCAAUGGCAACAAUAGGAUCAUCAUUGGCAUCAAUGAGAUCCACAACGGCAUCAACGGCAUCAUCGAUGACAUCAUCAAUGACAUCAUCAAUGACAUCAACAGCAUCAAUGACGUCAUCAAUGGCAUCAAUGGCACCUACAACACCAUCAAUGGCACCAACAGCAUCAAUGACAUCAUCGAUGACGUCAUCGAUGACGUCAUCAACGGCGCCUCAACGGCAGCACCGGCACCGCGGCAAAGAGGGGCAGGGGGAUGGGAAUGGGGAGGAAGGGAGCAGGGGGGCAGGGGAUGGGGGCUAUGGGGGUCAAUGGGGGGGGUCCAUAGGGGGCAAGAGAUGGGGGUAUGGGGUCUAGGGAUGGAUCUAUGGGGUCUAGGGAUGGAUCUAUGGGGUCUAGGGGUGAAUCUAUAGGGCCUAGGGAUGGAUCUAUAGGGUCUAGGGGUGAAUCUAUGGGGCCCAGGGAUGGGUCUAUGGGGUCAAGAGCGGGGUCCAUGCCCCCCUUUAGGGAUGGGGCAUCACCAGCCUCCCCCAUAGACAACACUGGCAAUGGGGCCAGACCUAUGGGGCCAAGCUCCGCCCCAAGCUCCGCCCCCCCGAGGGCCUCAGCCAAUAGGAGAGCCCCAUGGAGCAUCCAGGACUUGGGGGGCAGGCGCAGAGGGGGCGGGGCCGGGGGGGGCGGAGCCUCCCGGGGCAGCCAAUGGGAGCAGGGGAGGUGUUCGGGCUCGGGCACCCAUUGGUCCAGCAGCUGCUGCGGGAGGAGGAGGAGGAGGAGGAGGAGGAAGAUGGAGCUGAUGCCUUCACCUAUGGGGAGCUGUUCUUGGGCAGCCCCACAGGCUCUGAGUGACCCAAAAUGGCAUUAAAUGGACCCAAAAUGAUGGUGAUGUGGUGGUGGGGUCCAUAGGGAUGCAUUGACUUUAUAGGGAUGCAUUGACUCCAUAGGGAUCCAUUGGUGGUGGGGUCCAUAGGGAUGCAUUGAGUCCAUAGGGAUGCAUUGACUCCAUAGGGAUGCAUUGACUUCAUAGGGAUCCAUUGGUGGUGGGGUCCAUAGGGAUGCAUUGAGUCCAUAGGGAUCCAUUGGUGGUGG
rnacentral:lncRNA from 14 species